GUUCGAAGGAUCCCAAUCAAUCAGGUGCUCGGCAAAGUACCGCUCUCCUCGCCGGUAGUCAAUCAAUAGAUUUCCGGAAAGAUACGAGGAUGUGUUCAUGCGUGCGCGGUUGUGCAUGUACGCUUCGGAGUUGAGCUGGCGCAUGCCAGCGUCUACAAAAGGAACACCAGUCUUGCCUUCGUACCACUUCUUCCAGCCUUCCUCGUCAU
rnacentral:misc_RNA from 1 species